UACGGGGGGAGCAAGCGUUGUCCGGAUUUACUGGGCGUACAGGGCGCGUCGGCGGCCACCGCAAGUCGACUGUGAAAUCUCCGGGCUUAACCCGGAAAGGUCAGCCGAUACUGCGGGGCUAGAGUGCAGAAGGGGCAACUGGAAUUCUCGGUGUAGCGGUGAAAUGCGUAGAUAUCGAGAGGAACACCUGAGGUGAAGACGGGUUGCUGGGCUGACACUGACGCUGAGGCGCGAAAGCCAGGGGAGCAAACGGG
rnacentral:rRNA from 1 species